rnacentral:rRNA from 1 species
AUUGAACGCUGGCGGCAGGCCUAACACAUGCAAGUCGAACGGUAACAGGAAGAAGCUUGCUUCUUUGCUGACGAGUGGCGGACGGGUGAGUAAUGUCUGGGAAACUGCCUGAUGGAGGGGGAUAACUACUGGAAACGGUAGCUAAUACCGCAUAACGUCGCAAGACCAAAGAGGGGGACCUUCGGGCCCCUUGCCAUCGGAUGUGCCCAGAUGGGAUUAGCUAGUAGGUGGGGUAACGGCUCACCUAGGCGACGAUCCCUAGCUGGUCUGAGAGGAUGACCAGCCACACUGGAACUGGGACACGGUCCAGACUCCUACGGGAGGCAGCAGUGGGGAAUAUUGCACAAUGGGCGCAAGCCUGAUGCAGCCAUGCCGCGUGUAUGAAGAAGGCCUUCGGGUUGUAAAGUACUUUCAGCGGGGAGGAAGGGAGUAAAGUUAAUACCUUUGCUCAUUGACGUUACCCGCAGAAGAAGCACCGGCUAACUCCGUG